UGCCGCCAGUGGCCCGCCGAGCUGUCACUUAGGGGUGCCGUGGCGCAGCCUAUAUAAGUCUCGUGAGCGCCCGUCCCCCCUUCAUUUACUGUCACGGCGAGGUGUGGCGCGGUUGCUCGUUUGGGGUUCCGGGCUCGGCGCGCUCGGCGUACUUCUAGCCUCCCCGCCACCACAUCUGGCUUUAAUCCUCCCUGGCGUGUGCAGAGGCCGCUCCGGCUGCCAACAAAGGCCCUGAGUACAACAUCUUGAAUCUUCCAACUACACCCGUGGUUAUCUGUUUAACAGUCAAAGACAGUAGAGCCCAAUCCCAGCAAGUCUCAUCUAUGAGCGAGACCACCUUGGAUGUCUUUCCUAUUUGGCAUUCACACCAUUGGGGACGAUGUAUCCAUCAGGGUAUUCAAACAAAGCCGGGUCGUAUGGCUACACAUGAAGGAAUUAUAAUACCUCAUUCUAUUCAAAUGUUGUGGCCAGGGCUGUUUAUAUAAUGUGUGAGGCACUGCUAGAAUCCUUCAAGAAAACCCCAAACAAAAGAGAAUCCAAAUGUUGUGGUGGGAACAGACCCGCUUCCCUACAUCAUUCGAACAAUCAGCAGUGGCUUGUGGGAGCAAAAUCCUUGCCAAGAUGGUUUUAGGAGGCAGACUUGGAGGGUUGCUUUUACCUUGGGAGUGACUUAGACACACACUGAACUGACUCACUUAUGUUUGGUAUAUAUUUAAUAUAUUUGAUGUAAACAGAGGGCCCAUCGGAAAAGAACUGUGUGCCAGAAAAUUAUAGAGCUUUGGCGAUUUCUUCUUUUUCUUCCUUUGUGGAUUUGCUACUUGUAAAAGAUGCUGGAUCAACAGCCCUGCAUCUGGAAUCAUGUAUGCACAAAGCCAAUUCUAGCAGUUCAACUGUGCCAUCCAACCAAUAGACUUCAACUAACCAUUUAUUCACAUAAUAUAUCAAAGACCGUGAUUGCCAGUGUUGGAGUUACGGGUACCUGCACAACAAAAUCUAUGCCUCCUUUUCAUGGCCUCAGAUGUUUCUUUCCCCCUCUUUCAGAGCAACUGACCAUACAAGUAGGUGUCAGUAACAGCCAGUUGGGAAAAAAAAAAAAAAAAAGAAGAAACUACUGGAGAUAUUUUGGACAAAAGAAAUACCAUACUGUGGGUUGGUUGUGAAGGUGUUGGAAGAGCUGGAACAACCAAAUGAGGACAGAAGGGUGGAAGAGCAAAGAGAACACAGGAUGGAUACCCAUGUAUCAGAAGCUGUUAAUGGCUGUGGGUCGGAAACCCUGGGCUAACACCUGCCAAGGCACUAGUAGAGAACUUUGGCUGUUGUUUCUAGAACUCUGAAAAAGUGCUGCCUGGGCAUGGGCAGCUGGUGACAGGAAUGACCGGAACUCCACUAUUCGCACAGCUGUUGCCAACAACUUGUAGCAACUGAUGCAUUGUUGAAGGGAAGGGGAAACAGGAAGUUUCUCUCCUUCCUCCUUCUUCUAAGGCCACCCUCCACCACCACCACCACCAUCAGUGCCCUUUCCUGGCAGAACCUAACAGAAAGCUAGCUGGAGACCAGAACCCAGGAAAUGCAACUAGCUAACCCCAGCGUCCCAGGGCAGACACCAGAAAGGCCACAUGUGAAGCCAGAAUCCAUGGGUAAGUAACCAACCCAGUGAGAACAAAAAACCCCAUUUAGCACAGUGGUUAAGAUGCCUCUUGGGAAACCCACAUCCCACGUUGGAGUAGCUGAAUAUCCAUGCCUGAGUUCAAGUCCCAGCUCUGUUCCUGAUUCCAGCUUCCUAUCACUGGACACCCCGGGAAGUAGCAGGUAAUGGCUCAAGUAUUUGGGUCCCUGCCAUCCACAGGGAAGACCCAGAUGGAGUUCUGGGCAUCUGACUUUGGCCUGUUUCAGCCCCAGCUAUUGGGUGCAUUUGGGUAGUAAACCAUCAGGUGGAAGAUCUCUGUCCGUCUGUCCAUCUGGAUAGCUGUCUGCUUCUUUGCCUUUUGCAUAAAUAAAUAAAAAGUUUUAAAAAGACACGUUAGGGGCCGGCGCCGCGGCUCACUAGGCUAAUCCUCUGCCUUGCAGCACCGGCACACCGGGUUCUAGUCCCGGUCAGGGUGCCGGAUUCUGUCCCGGUUGCCCCUCUUCCAGGCCAGCUCUCUGCUGUGGCCCGGGAGGGCAGUGGAGGAUGGCCCAGGUGCUUGGGCCCUGCACCCCAUGGGAGACCAGGAUAAGUACCUGGCUCCAGCCAUCGGAUCAGCGCAGUGCGCCGGCCGCAGUACGCCAGCCGCGGCAGCCAUUGGAGGGUGAACCAACGCCAAAAGGAAGACCUUUCUCUCUGUCUCUCUCUCUCA